GAGAACACACGGUAUUCUUUAG
rnacentral:snRNA from 1 species